AGAGUUUGAUCCUGGCUCAGAUUGAACGCUGGCGGCAUGCCUUACACAUGCAAGUCGAACGGCAGCACGGGAGCAAUCCUGGUGGCGAGUGGCGAACGGGUGAGUAAUGUAUCGGAACGUACCUUUCAGUGGGGGAUAACGUAGCGAAAGUUACGCUAAUACCGCAUAUUCUGUGAGCAGGAAAGCAGGGGAUCGCAAGACCUUGCGCUGAUUGAGCGGCCGAUAUCAGAUUAGCUAGUUGGUGAGGUAAAGGCUCACCAAGGCGACGAUCUGUAGCGGGUCUGAGAGGAUGAUCCGCCACACUGGAACUGAGACACGGUCCAGACUCCUACGGGAGGCAGCAGUGGGGAAUUUUGGACAAUGGGCGCAAGCCUGAUCCAGCCAUGCCGCGUGAGUGAAGAAGGCCUUCGGGUUGUAAAGCUCUUUCAGCCGGGAAGAAAACGCAUGGGUUAAUACCCUGUGUGGAUGACGGUACCGGAAUAAGAAGCACCGGCUAACUACGUGCCAGCAGCCGCGGUAAUACGUAGGGUGCGAGCGUUAAUCGGAAUUACUGGGCGUAAAGCGUGCGCAGGCGGUUUGUUAAGAUAGGCGUGAAAUCCCCGGGCUCAACCUGGGAACUGCGUUUAUGACUGGCAGGCUAGAGUAUGGCAGAGGGGGGUGGAAUUCCACGUGUAGCAGUGAAAUGCGUAGAGAUGUGGAGGAACACCGAUGGCGAAGGCAGCCCCCUGGGCCAAUACUGACGCUCAUGCACGAAAGCGUGGGUAGCAAACAGGAUUAGAUACCCUGGUAGUCC
rnacentral:rRNA from 1 species